AUUGAACGCUGGCGGCAGGCUUAACACAUGCAAGUCGAGCGGAGAUGAGGUGCUUGCACCUUAUCUUAGCGGCGGACGGGUGAGUAAUGCUUAGGAAUCUGCCUAUUAGUGGGGGACAACAUUCCGAAAGGAAUGCUAAUACCGCAUACGUCCUACGGGAGAAAGCAGGGGAUCUUCGGACCUUGCGCUAAUAGAUGAGCCUAAGUCGGAUUAGCUAGUUGGUGGGGUAAAGGCCUACCAAGGCGACGAUCUGUAGCGGGGCGGAGAGGAUGAGACGGCACACUGGGACUGAGACACGUCCCAGAAUCCUUCGGGAGGCAGCAGUUGGGAAUAUUGGACAAUGGGGGGAACCCUGAUCCAGUCAUGCCGCGUGGGUGAAGAAGGCCUUAUGGUUGUAAAGCACUUUAAGCGAGGAGGAGGCUACUGAGACUAAUACUCUUGGAUAGUGGACGUUACUCGCAGAAUAAGCACCGGCUAACUCUGUGCCAGCCGCCGCCGUAA
rnacentral:rRNA from 1 species